AUCGUUUCUCGGCCUUUUGGCUAAGAUCAAGUGUAGUAUUUGUUCUUAUCAGUUUAAGAAAUGGUUUUGACUGUGACCAACCAGAUGUCUCUCCAAAGCUUACACCAUGGCAUGGAGGUUGUAACCCUUU
ensembl:snRNA U2 U2 spliceosomal RNA